UACGAAGGGUGCAAGCGUUACUCGGAAUUACUGGGCGUAAAGCGUGCGUAGGUGGUUCGUUAAGUCUGAUGUGAAAGCCCUGGGCUCAACCUGGGAAUUGCAUUGGAUACUGGCGGGCUAGAGUGCGGUAGAGGGUAGUGGAAUUCCCGGUGUAGCAGUGAAAUGCGUAGAGAUCGGGAGGAACAUCCGUGGCGAAGGCGACUACCUGGACCAGCACUGACACUGAGGCACGAAAGCGUGGGGAGCAAACAGG
rnacentral:rRNA from 1 species